GGAGAACUUGGCUAGAGCUGUGUGAUUAGGGUAAUGGCAGCCAUGAGACGAUCGAGGAAGUGGACGCAAGAUUCAGAGUUGAAGAAGUGAAGACAGUAGGCAAUUCGCUGGAGGAUGUCAACGGGAAGAAAGAAUGGGGAUCAUGACACGAGCUGAAGUCGGACGUCCGAUCCACUGAGCCACCCAGGCGCCCCGCAAAGGUGUUUUGGAUACAGUUACUUUACUACCGAGUGCCACUCUACUUUCUAACAAGGAGGACCAAAGGGACCUUGCCUUUGAAGAGGCAUUACUCCCGGUGUAGCCUUUGGAUCACACAGCCAAUACAUCACUGCUUUAGAAGGACUGUAGGAAGGCUAAGGACAGAAUUCCUCACGUUGCUGGAAAACUAGAAAGGACAACCAGGACAGUUGAAGGGAACAGGAGGGAGCAGAAGCAGAGUCUGACCACCACUUUUAACUCUAUGUGACCCUGGGUCCUUCAAGAGACGUCUCUCCCUGACAGUGUGAAGAUGGCCGGUCUCAUGGGUGCUGCAGGGAACGCUUUGGGAAUGACUUGAGAGGGUGUCUGCUAAGGUCCCUCCUGAUUCAAAGAUCUUCUAUCUCUGAAUAGAGCAAGAUGUCCAUACUAUGAAUGGUUUCAAUCGAAAAUCCGUUUCUGUAUAAAAAAUGCAAGAUCAGACAAUGUGGUGAAACCACAGCCAUGGGGCUCAUAGACUAACAGUUCUGCACUGUUUCUGGAAGUGUCAGCUGAGCUCUCUUUAAAUGGCACAACCAAGCCGCCAGGUUCUAAUCGUCUCUAAUUGGUGAUCUUGUGAACUGCAACUUCCCUUACCACUAAAAGGGCUGACGAUAUCAUUCCUCUAAUAAGAAACAUGUUAAAAGGCAAAAUAAUA